UACAGAGGGUGCGAGCGUUAAUCGGAGUUACUGGGCGUAAAGGGCGCGUAGGCGGUUGUAUAUGUGUGAUGUGAAAGCCCCGGGCUUAACCUGGGAAGUGCAUCGCAAACUGUAUAACUGGAGUACAAGAGAGGGUGGCGGAAUUUCCGGUGUAGCGGUGAAAUGCGUAGAGAUCGGAAGGAACGUCGAUGGCGAAGGCAGCCACCUGGCUUGAUACUGACGCUGAGGCGCGAAAGCGUGGGGAGCGAACAGGAUUAGAUACCCUGGUAGUCCACGCUGUAAACGAUGAGGACUAGAUGUUGGAAGGGGAACCUUUCAGUAUCGAAGCUAACGCGAUAAGUCUUCCGCCUGGGAAGUACGGCCGCAAGGUUGAA
rnacentral:rRNA from 1 species